UACAGAGGUCCCGAGCGUUGUUCGGAUUUAUUGGGCGUAAAGCGUGCGCAGGCGGUGAUGUAAGACAGGGGUGAAAUCCCCGGGCUUAACCUGGGAACUGCAUUUGUGACUGCAUCGCUGGAGUGCGGCAGAGGGGGAUGGAAUUCCGCGUGUAGCAGUGAAAUGCGUAGAUAUGCGGAGGAACACCGAUGGCGAAGGCAAUCCCCUGGGCCUGCACUGACGCUCAUGCACGAAAGCGUGGGGAGCAAACAGG
rnacentral:rRNA from 1 species